CCACUUACAGAUGGACCCGCGGCGCAUUAGCUAGUUGGUGAGGUAAUGGCUCACCAAGGCAACGAUGCGUAGCCGACCUGAGAGGGUGAUCGGCCACACUGGGACUGAGACACGGCCCAGACUCCUACGGGAGGCAGCAGUAGGGAAUCUUCCGCAAUGGACGAAAGUCUGACGGAGCAACGCCGCGUGAGUGAUGAAGGUUUUCGGAUCGUAAAGCUCUGUUGUUAGGGAAGAACAAGUACCGUUCGAAUAGGGCGGUACCUUGACGGUACCUAACCAGAAAGCCACGGCUAACUACGUGCCAGCAGCCGCGGUAAUACGUAGGUGGCAAGCGUUGUCCGGAAUUAUUGGGCGUAAAGGGCUCGCAGGCGGUUUCUUAAGUCUGAUGUGAAAGCCCCCGGCUCAACCGGGGAGGGUCAUUGGAAACUGGGGAACUUGAGUGCAGAAGAGGAGAGUGGAAUUCCACGUGUAGCGGUGAAAUGCGUAGAGAUGUGGGAGGAACACCAGUGGGCGAAAGCGACUCUNUNGGUCUGUAACUGACGCUUAGGAGCGAAAGCGUGGGGGAGCGAACAAGGAUUAGAUACCCCGG
rnacentral:rRNA from 1 species